GAGAACCAAGAGAUCCGUUGUUGAAAGUUUUGACUAUUAAGUAAUAAUCUGGUGUGACAAGUUGAUAAAAAAUUGGUUGUAAGUUUAGACCUCUGGCGGCAGGCUGGGCCCACCGCCAAAGCAAGUUUGUUUCAAAGAAAAACACAUGUGGUGCAAUUAAGCAAAUCAGUAAUGAUCCUU
rnacentral:misc_RNA from 1 species